rnacentral:rRNA from 1 species
UGGGGAAUAUUGCACAAUGGGCGAAAGCCUGAUGCAGCAACGCCGCGUGAGUGAUGAAGGCCUUCGGGUUGUAAAGCUCUGUCUUUUGGGACGAUAAUGACGGUACCAAAGGAGGAAGCCACGGCUAACUACGUGCCAGCAGCCGCGGUAAUACGUAGGUGGCAAGCGUUGUCCGGAUUUACUGGGCGUAAAGGAUGCGUAGGCGGAUUUUUAAGUGAGAUGUGAAAACCCUAAGCUUAACUUGGGGACUGCAUUUCAUACUGGAAAUCUAGAGUGCGGGAGAGGAGAAUGGAAUUCCUAGUGUAGCGGUGAAAUGCGUAGAGAUUAGGAAGAACACCAGUGGCGAAGGCGAUUCUCUGGACCGUAACUGACGCUGAGGCAUGAAAGCGUGGGUAGCAAACAGGAUUAGAUACCCUGGUAGUCCACGCCGUAAAACGAUGAGUACUAGGUGUAGGAGGUAUCGACCCCCUUCUGUGCCGCAGUUAACACAAUAAGUACUCCGCCUGGGAAGUACGAUCGCAAGAUUAAAAACUC